rnacentral:lncRNA from 1 species
GCUCGGCCAUGUGAAAUCCACAACCAUUUAAGCACCUCUAUCUUUUCUCUUUCAUUGAAAAUUAACACUUUAGUAUUACUCUUCGGAAACAACCGCCCUCACAGCCGGACUCAUCGGAAACCACCGCCCUCACCAUCUCAAAAUCUCACCCUAUUCCCACCCUUACUUCCCCCACUUCAAUUCGAGUUUGAAUCCAGUGCACCUGCUUGAAUUACGCAAAUUACCUUUUAAUUCAAGGUAAAUAUCAAGAGAAAUUCAUUUUAUCGUUCACUCCGGGAUCCUGAUGAUGUCGUCGUUAGCCGCCGGCGGUUCGUUUUUCCGGCAGAGAAGAUCAGAUCUGAUGUAAACAUGAGUCAAAGAUCAUCGUGUUAUAGUUCAGAUCGGAUGUAAACAUGUGGUGGUAUGAAGCUAAUCCAACCUCCACCACUGCAACCUUUGUCGCGCCAUCCACCAGCACCAUACAUGUGUUCAACAACGACCUGCACUAAAACGAAACCGUAACUGCUUUGAUUUUUUUUUCUUUUUCUGAAGAAUUAUUGAUUGCAGCCUAUGCUUUGAUUUUUUUUUCUUUUUCUGAAGAAUUAUUGAUUUUGUUUACUAGAUGUUGGCAUAGUAUUCAACAAUGUAAAGGAAUUACAGUCUCCUUGUUUCCAGAUGAUGAUGAAAUUGUUGGAAUUGGGAUAUCUCUGA